rnacentral:lncRNA from 1 species
AGGGCUCGAGAGUGCUAAAGCUCUAGUGCAGAACUAAUUAGCUGGUUCCAAGCCGAUGGUGAUUGUUAUCUUCUUGUGUCAAUGAUGUCGGAUUCAUUGUGGUCGUACAGGUAUUUCAGUUUGUGUGGUUUCUUUGUUGUGUUUUCAGUUAGGGAUGUCUUUGGGUGCUCGUGUGGCGGUGUGCAAAUCCAGGUGUGGCAGUGAUCGAUGGGGGAAGAUAUUUUGGUCAGCUGAUUGCUUUCUUAUUAGAUUGGGUUGGUAUGAAGUGGCGUCUAAGCUUUAUUUUCUUCUGAUGCCUCCUCUCUAUGUGUUGGUUUUGGU